UACGUAGGUGACAAGCGUUGUCCGGAUUUACUGGGCGUAAAGAGCUCGUAGGUGGUUUGUCGCGUUGUUCGUGAAAACUCACAACUCAAUUGUGGGCGUGCGGGCGAUACGGGCAGACUGGAGUACUGCAGGGGAGACUGGAAUUCCUGGUGUAGCGGUGGAAUGCGCAGAUAUCAGGAGGAACACCGGUGGCGAAGGCGGGUCUCUGGGCAGUAACUGACGCUGAGGAGCGAAAGCGUGGGGAGCGAACAGG
rnacentral:rRNA from 1 species